rnacentral:rRNA from 1 species
UGGGGAAUCUUGGACAAUGGGCGAAAGCCUGAUCCAGCAAUGCCGCGUGUGUGAAGAAGGCCUUCGGGUUGUAAAGCACUUUCGUUGGGGAAGAAAAUACUCAGAGCUCAUACCUCUGAGAGUUGACGUUACCCAAAGAAGAAGCACUGGCUAACUCUGUGCCAGCAGCCGCGGUAAUACAGAGAGUGCAAGCGUUAAUCGGAAUCACUGGGCGUAAAGCGCAUGUAGGUGGGUAUUUAAGUCGGAUGUGAAAUCCCUGGGCUUAACCUGGGAAUUGCAUUCGAUACUGGACAUCUAGAGUAUGGUAGAGGGAAGUGGAAUUUCCGGUGUAGCGGUGAAAUGCGUAGAUAUCGGAAAGAACAUCAGUGGCGAAGGCGGCUUCCUGGACCAAUACUGACACUAAAGUGCGAAAGCGUGGGUAGCAAACAGGAUUAGAUACCCCCGUAGUCC